rnacentral:tRNA from 5 species
GCGGAUGUAGUUUAGUGGCAAAACCUCAGCUUCCCAAGCUGAAGUUGUGGGUUCGAUUCCCAUCAUCCGCUCCA